UACGUAGGGGGCAAGCGUUGUCCGGAAUUAUUGGGCGUAAAGCGCGUGUAGGCGGCCAGAUAAGUCCGCUGUGAAAUCUCGAGGCUCAACUUCGAGCUGUCGGUGGAAACUGUCUGGCUAGAGUCCGGAAGAGGAGAAUGGAAUUCCUGGUGUAGCGGUGAAAUGCGCAGAUAUCAGGAAGAACACCCGUGGCGAAGGCGGUUCUCUGGGACGGUACUGGCGCUGAGACGCGAAAGCGUGGGGAGCGAACAGG
rnacentral:rRNA from 1 species